CGCGAACGCUGGCGGCAGGCCUAAUACAUGCAAGUCGAGCGCCCGUAGCAAUACGGGAGCGGCAGACGGGUGAGUAACACGUGGGAACGUACCCUUCGGUUCGGAAUAACCCAGGGAAACUUGGGUUAAUACCGGAUACGCCCUUACGGGUAAAGGAUUAUUGCCGAAGGAUCGGCCCGCGUCCGAUUAGCUAGUUGGUGGGGUAAGUGGCCCACCAAGGCGACGAUCAGUAGCUGGUCUGAGAGGANAAUCAGCCACACUGGGACUGAGACACGGCCCAGACUCCUAC
rnacentral:rRNA from 1 species